GAUUCUUCCAUGAUUACACCUAGAUGUUAAUUAACCUUAGGUCUCCUGAUCUCUGAUCUCCUAAUAACAUGUAUGGAAAACGGAUUGGCAGGAGAACUGCUGGAGGGAUGUAAGUUUUUGUUUUAGCUGGGUGUUGUAAAAUGCAACUGAAAGCAUUGAUCCUUAUCACACUGUUAUCAAGUAGAUGAAACCAAGGUGUGAACCCAGUCAC